rnacentral:rRNA from 1 species
UACGGAGGAUGCAAGCGUUAUCCGGAAUGAUUGGGCGUAAAGGGUCCGCAGGUGGCAAUGUAAGUCUGCUGUCAAAGAAUGAGGCUCAACCUCAUCAAGGCAGUGGAAACUACGUAGCUAGAGUACGGUCGGGGUAGAAGGAAUUCCUGGUGUAGCGGUGAAAUGCGUAGAUAUCUGGAGGAACACCGGUGGCGAAGGCGGCAUCCUGGACCGACACUGACGCUGAGGCGCGAAAGCUAGGGUAGCAAACGGG